rnacentral:lncRNA from 1 species
AACAACUAUAGGUCACCGUACGGCCUUCAACAAUGAGCAAAGCCCAUACCGCAUAGUCAGCUAUAAAAGGCCCCGAUAAGACAAUGUAAAACAAUUCAAACGAGAAACUAACGGCCUUAUUUAUGUAAAAAAAUUAACGAAAAACAAAUAUGUAACACAUAUACAAAUGACAACCACUGAAUAUACAGGCUCCUGACUUGGGACAGGCACAUACAUAAAUAAUGUGGCGGGGUUAAACAUGUUAGCUGGAUCCCAACCCUCCCCCUAACCUGGGACAGUGGUAUAACAGUACAACAUAAGAACGAAC